rnacentral:rRNA from 1 species
AUUGAACGCUGGCGGCAUGCCUAACACAUGCAAGUCGAACGGAGAUAGGGGCAACCUUAUUUCAGUGGCGGACGGGUGAGGAAUGCGUCGGAAUCUGCCCUAUGGUGGGGAUAACACAGGGAAACUUGUGCUAAUACCGCAUAAUGUCGAGAGACCAAAGCAGGGGACCGCAAGGCCUUGCGCGAUAGGAUGAGCCGACGCCCGAUUAGCUUGUUGGUAGGGUAAUGGCCUACCAAGGCGACGAUCGGUAGCUGGUCUGAGAGGAUGAUCAGCCACACUGGGACUGAGACACGGCCCAGACUCCUACGGGAGGCAGCAGUGGGGAAUAUUGGACAAUGGGCGCAAGCCUGAUCCAGCCAUUCCGCGUGAGUGAAGAAGGCCUGG